rnacentral:rRNA from 1 species
GACGAACGCUGGCGGCGUGCUUAACACAUGCAAGUCGAACGGAAAGGCCCUGCUUUUGUGGGGUGCUCGAGUGGCGAACGGGUGAGUAACACGUGAGUAACCUGCCCUUGACUUUGGGAUAACUUCAGGAAACUGGGGCUAAUACCGGAUAGGAGCUCCUGCUGCAUGGUGGGGGUUGGAAAGUUUCGGCGGUUGGGGAUGGACUCGCGGCUUAUCAGCUUGUUGGUGGGGUAGUGGCUUACCAAGGCUUUGACGGGUAGCCGGCCUGAGAGGGUGACCGGCCACAUUGGGACUGAGAUACGGCCCAGACUCCUACGGGUGGCAGCAGUGGGGAAUAUUGCACAAUGGGCGGAAGCCUGAUGCAGCAACGCCGCGUGCGGGAUGACGGCCUUCGGGUUGUAAACCGCUUUCGCCUGUGACGAAGCGUGAGUGACGGUAAUGGGUAAAGAAGCACCGGCUAACUACGUGCCAGCAGCCGCGGUGAUACGUAGGGUGCGAGCGUUGUCCGGAUUUAUUGGGCGUAAAGGGCUCGUAGGUGGUUGAUCGCGUCGGAAGUGUAAUCUUGGGGCUUAACCCUGAGCGUGCUUUCGAUACGGGUUGACUUGAGGAAGGUAGGGGAGAAUGGAAUUCCUGGUGGAGCGGUGGAAUGCGCAGAUAUCAGGAGGAACACCAGUGGCGAAGGCGGUUCUCUGGGCCUUUCCUGACGCUGAGGAGCGAAAGCGUGGGGAGCGAACAGGCUUAGAUACCCUGGUAGUCCACGCUGUAAACGGUGGGUACUAGGUGUGGGGUCCAUUCCACGGGUUCCGUGCCGUAGCUAACGCUUUAAGUACCCCGCCUGGGGAGUACGGCCGCAAGGCUAAAACUCAAAGGAAUUGACGGGGCCCCGCACAAGCGGCGGAGCAUGCGGAUUAAUUCGAUGCAACGCGUAGAACCUUACCUGGGUUUGACAUGGAUCGGGAGUGCUCAGAGAUGGGUGUGCCUCUUUUGGGGUCGGUUCACAGGUGGUGCAUGGCUGUCGUCAGCUCGUGUCGUGAGAUGUUGGGUUAAGUCCCGCAACGAGCGCAACCCUUGUUCACUGUUGCCAGCACGUUAUGGUGGGGACUCAGUGGAGACCGCCGGGGUCAACUCGGAGGAAGGUGGGGAUGACGUCAAGUCAUCAUGCCCCUUAUGUCCAGGGCUUCACGCAUGCUACAAUGGCUGGUACAGAGAGUGGCGAGCCUGUGAGGGUGAGCGAAUCUCGGAAAGCCGGUCUCAGUUCGGAUUGGGGUCUGCAACUCGACCUCAUGAAGUCGGAGUCGCUAGUAAUCGCAGAUCAGCAACGCUGCGGUGAAUACGUUCCCGGG